rnacentral:tRNA from 1 species
GCCGGUAUAGCUCAGUUGGCUAGAGCAUGCGGUUCAUACCCGCAGUGUCGUUGGUUCAAAUCCGACUACCGGUACCA